AUUUUCACUUUUUCAAUUUUAAAAUUUUCAUAUUCUCCAACGCACUCUGGAUUUUUGCAAGAAAAUUCAGAAAUGGAAAACGAAUAUCAGGGUUCAAAUGAUAACAACGACACCAUUAGCGACGUUUCAGUCGAAGUAAAUCCUUCGAAUUCUUCAACCAAACCACCUCCAAACCCAGACUCUCAAUCCAACAAUGAUCUCGGCAACAGCAACAGCACAGAUGCUUUAGCCAAAGCUUUAUCCUCGAUGCUUACUUCUCUCGUCAAAGACUUCGACUCCAAAGCCCACGACACUCUUGCCAGCCAAGACCUCCUUAGUUCCUCAAUUGAUCGUCUUACCCGAGAGCUUGAUCAAUUACUGGAAGAUGCACCGUUGCCAUUCAUAAUGCAGCACGCUGCCAAGUUUUCUAAUGUCAGAAAGAGAGUUUUGUCAUUGAAUUUGCUUUUGAAAUCCAUUCAGCGGCGUGUUGAUAACAUAGACCGGAUGCUAUCAAUAGGCUUGCAACAUGAGAAGACUGCUGCAGAAGAUUCCUGACAAUGUAAUUAUUAGCUGUAUAUUAUUGGCAACUGUGAAGGGAAAUGUUAGGUUGGGGCUCAAAGUUUCCUAACAUUUUGGAUGAAAUGUUUGUGAAGGUUUUCUGGCCCAAAGGUGUCUGUGGUGUUUCUUGCAUUCCCUCAAGUGCCUGUGCAUUUGCUUGAAUGUCAAAGCAUGUUGGGCUUUUUAGCAGCAAGUGAGCAGGCUGGAAUUUUUCAUGCACGUCUCUCUGACAAUAUGGAGAAUAGACCAGCAAUUGGCUGACAAGAGAGUGGAUGUAUGAUUUUACUUUAUGCGAGUCUUACCAUUCUCAGUCAGUUGAUUUAAACUUAAGCAAUGAGUGGUGAGAAACUUGAUGGUGGAAGCUGACAAAAGCUUUUGUAACGUUUCAAGUUUUGUAGUAUGAUGGGUGUGGCUGCAUGACAAACCGACGCAAAAAAAAGUCUCGUAACGAGUAUAUCAUCCCAGCUAGGUUACUGAAAAUAUAAGCAGUAAAAGCCUAAAACAUCACUCAGAACCCAGAAAAUGCAUCACCAUUGCUGAUAGGUUAAGUAGGUGGGACACGGUCUGUGGUUGGAAAUCUAGGAGUCGUCUUUGCUAGUGCCUUGAUGUGCGGAAUAUUCACAUUGGACAGUGGAAACUUGGGUUCAUAACGGGGGAUAUCUAGAGAAGCUAGUAAUACAUAUGUAGCAUCAAAUCCAACAGAAAUUGCUUUCACAUGUAUCCUAAUUACUAGUAUGGAAAAUGAAUAUAUGUUGAG